GAUGAACGCUGGCGGCGUGCCUAAUACAUGCAAGUCGAGCGAACAGACGAGGAGCUUGCUCCUCUGACGUUAGCGUCGGACGGGUGAGUAACACGUGGAUAACCUACCUAUAAGACUGGGAUAACUUCGGGAAACCGGAGCUAAUACCGGAUAAUAUAUUGAACCGCAUGGUUCAAUAUUGAAAGACGGUUUUGCUGUCACUUAUAGAUGGAUCCGCGCCGCAUUAGCUAGUUGGUAAGGUAACGGCUUACCAAGGCAACGAUGCGUAGCCGACCUGAGAGGGUGAUCGGCCACACUGGAACUGAGACACGGUCCAGACUCCUACGGGAGGCAGCAGUAGGGAAUCUUCCGCAAUGGGCGAAAGCUUGACGGAGCAACGCCGCGUGAGUGAUGAAGGUCUUCGGAUCGUAAAACUCUGUUAUUAGGGAAGAACAAAUGUGUAAGUAACUAUGCACGUCUUGACGGUACCUAAUCAGAAAGCCACGGCUAACUACGUG
rnacentral:rRNA from 1 species